GUAACAAAUUAAAUAGUAUAUAUAUAUCCACUUAUCCCCUUUAUACCCAAACGCAAAUUUUUUAUCCGAGAAUAGUAAUUUUUGGGCAUCUGAAUAAGCUGGUAUAACUAUUCUGACCAACACCUCUAUUUUCUAUAUAUAACUACCCACUAUUUUUCGUAUUCCAUAUUAUCUAAUCCAAACACUAUUUUUUUUAUCCCUGACAACAACCCAAUUUUCAUCCAAACGUUAUUUUUCUUAUCCCAUACUUGUACCUAUUCCUAUAAUAGCUAGUUCUUGCUUAUAUAUACCUGAAUCAAAUGAAGCCAUCAGAGAUCUGAUUCCAUA
rnacentral:lncRNA from 1 species